rnacentral:rRNA from 1 species
GAUGAACGCUGGCGGCGUGCCUAAUACAUGCAAGUCGAGCGAACAGACGAGGAGCUUGCUCCUCUGACGUAGCGGCGGACGGGUGAGUAACACGUGGAUAACCUACCUAUAAGACUGGGAUAACUUCGGGAAACCGGAGCUAAUACCGGAUAAUAUAUUGAACCGCAUGGUUCAAUAGUGAAAGACGGUUUUGCUGUCACUUAUAGAUGGAUCCGCGCCGCAUUAGCUAGUUGGUAAGGUAACGGCUUACCAAGGCAACGAUGCGUAGCCGACCUGAGAGGGUGAUCGGCCACACUGGAACUGAGACACGGUCCAGACUCCUACGGGAGGCAGCAGUAGGGAAUCUUCCGCAAAGGGCGAAAGCUUGACGGAGCAACGCCGCGUGAGUGAUGAAGGUCUUCGGAUCGUAAAACUCUGUUAUUAGGGAAGAACAAAUGUGUAAGUAACUAUGCACGUCUUGACGGUACCUAAUCAGAAAGCCACGGCUAACUACGUG